UCAAGCAGAAGACGGCAUACGAGAUUUCGCGGAGUGACUGGAGUUCAGACGUGUGCUCUUCCGAUCUACGGAGGAAAGAGGGCCUCUAUUUAUAAGCUCUCGCUAGCAGAUAAGCCCGCGGCCUAUCAGCUAGUUGGCGGGGUAACGGCCCACCAAGGCUAAGACGGGUAGCUGGUCUGAGAGGACGACCAGCCACACUGGAACUGAGACACGGUCCAGACACCUACGGGUGGCAGCAGUCGAGAAUUUUUCACAAUGGGCGAAAGCCUGAUGGAGCGACGCCGCGUGGGGGAUGAAGGGCUUCGGCUCGUAAACCCCUGUCAUUCGAGAACAAACCCUGCGGUUGAAUAGAUCGCAGGCUGAUAGUAUCGGAAGAGGAAGGGACGGCUAACUCUGUGCCAGCAGCCGCGGUAAUACAGAGGUCCCAAGCGUUGUUCGGAUUUACUGGGCGUAAAGGGUGCGUAGGCGGUGGGGAAAGUUCGGGGUGAAAUCUCCAGGCUCAACUUGGAAAUUGCCUUGAAGACUUCCCUGCUCGAGGGUCGCAGAGGAGACUGGAAUUCUCGGUGUAGCAGUGAAAUGCGUAGAUAUCGAGAGGAACACCAGUGGCGAAAGCGGGUCUCUGGGCGACACCUGACGCUGAGGCACGAAAGCCAGGGGAGCAAACGGGAUUAGAUACCCCGGUAGUCCUGGCCCUAAACGGUGCGCACUUGCUGUGAGCGGCUUCAAAACCCGCUCGUGGCGGAGUUAACACGUUAAGUGCGCCGCCUGAGGAGUACGGUCGCAAGAUUAAAACUCAAAGGAAUUGACGGGGGCCCGCACAAGCGGUGGAGUAUGUGGUUUAAUUCGAUGCAACGCGAAGAACCUUACCAAGACUUGACAUGUCGCGAACCCUGGUGAAAGCUGGGGGUGCCUUCGG
rnacentral:rRNA from 1 species